rnacentral:rRNA from 1 species
CAGUAGCCACGGGAAUACGUAGGUGGCAAGCGUUGUCCGGAAUUAUUGGGCGUAAAGGGCUCGCAGGCGGUUUCUUAAGUCUGAUGUGAAAGCCCCCGGCUCAACCGGGGAGGGUCAUUGGAACCUGGGAAACUUGAGUGCAGAAGAGGAGAGUGGAAUUCCACGUGUAGCGGUGAAAUGCGUAGAGAUGUGGAGGAACACCAGUGGCGAAGGCGACUCUCUGGUCUGUAACUGACGCUGAGGAGCGAAAGCGUGGGGAGCGAACAGGAUUAGAUACCCGAGUAGUCCCUGUCUCUUAUAC